rnacentral:rRNA from 1 species
UUCCGGUUGAUCCUGCCGGAGGUCACCGUUAUCAGGUUUCGACUAAGCCAUGCGAGGCGUGAGUCAUCUGGACUCGCCGAACUGCUCAGUAACACGUAGUUAACCUAACCUCAAGUGGAGGAUAAUCCCGCGAAAGUGGGGCUAAUACUCCAUAGCUGUUGAAUGCUGGAAUGCUUUAACAGCCAAAGUCUCGGCGCUUGAGGAUGGGACUGCGACCUAUCAUGGUAGUUGCGAGUAUAAAAUACUCACAAGCCCGUAACGGGUAGGGGCCAUGAGAGUGGAAGCCUCGAGAUGCCUUCUGAGACAUGAAGGCAGGUCCUACGGGACGCAGCAGGUACGAAAACUUUCCAAUAGCUUAACGGCUGAGAGGGGAAGCCUGAGUGACUAUGCACUGCAUAGUCUUUUGUUUUGUCUAAAAAGCAGGACGAAUAAGUGGUGGGUAAGACGGGUGGCAGCCGCCGCGGUAAUACCCGCGCCACGAAUGGUGACCACGAUUAUUGGGUCUAAAGCGUCCGUAGCCGGUUCAACAAGUUCUUGGUUAAAUUCAACAGCUGACUGUUGGUUUGCUGAGAAUACUGUUUGACUUGGGAUUGGGAAAGGAGAAAGGUAUUCCACGUGUAGGGGUUAAAUCCUUUAAUCCGUGGAAGACCUCCGGUGGCGAAGGCGUUUCUCUGGAACAAGUCCGACGGUGAGGGACGAAAGCUAGGGGAGCAAAUCUAAUCUUUCGAUAAAAAGAUGAGAGCUCAAAUGGGAUUAGAUACCCCAGUAGUCCUAGCUGUAAACGAUGUCCGUUUGAUGUUGCAAACUCUACGGGAGUUUGCAGUGUCGGAGCGUAGGUGUUAAACGGACCACCUGGGGAGUACGGCCGCAAGGUUGAAACUUAAGGGAAUUGGCGGGAGAGCACACAAGGGGUGGAGGCUGCGGUUUAAUCGGAUUCAACGCCGAACAUCUCACAAGGGUUGACAGCAGAAUGAAGGUCAUCCUGAAGGGUUUACCAAACAAGCUGAGAGGUGUUGCAUGGCCAUCGUCAGCUCGUACCUUGAGGCGUGCAGUUAAGUCUGUUAACGAGCGAGACCCACGCUGCCAUUUGCUAUCAUAUUUUCAGAUAAUAUCAAAAAAGUAUGAGCACUAUGGUAGGACCGCUGGUGAUAAAUCAGAGGAAGGAGUGGGCGACGGUAGGUCCGUAUGGCCCGAAUACCCUUGGCUACACGCGGCCUACAAUGGUUGGGACAAUACGUUGCGACGCCGAAAGGCGAAGCCAAUCGUCUAAACCCAACCUCAGUUCAGAUUGAGGGCUGUAACUCGCCCUCAUGAAGCCGGAAUCCCUAGUAAGCGAACGUCAUAACCGUUCGCUGAAUACGUCCCUGCUCUUUGCACACACCGCCCGUC